AGGGCGCACGGUGGAUGCCUUGGCACUAGAAGCCGAUGAAGGACGUGACUAACGACGAAAUGCUUUGGGGAGCUGUAAGUGAGCAAUGAUCCAGAGAUGUCCGAAUGGGGGAACCCGGCAGGUAAUGCCUGUCACUCAUUACUGUUAAGGUAAUGUAGAGGAAGACGCAGUGAACUGAAACAUCUAAGUAGCUGUAGGAAGAGAAAGCAAAAGCGAUUGCCUUAGUAGCGGCGAGCGAAACGGCAAGAGGGCAAACCGAAGAGUUUACUCUUCGGGGUUGUAGGACUGCAACGUGGACUUAAAGAUUAUAGAAGAACUACCUGGGAAGGUAGGCCAAAGAGAGUAAUAGCCUCGUAUUCGAAAUAGUCUUUAUACCUAGCAGUAUCCUGAGUACGGCGAGACACGAGAAAUCUCGUCGGAAUCUGGGAGGACCAUCUCCCAACCCUAAAUACUCUCUAGUGACCGAUAGUGAACCAGUACCGUGAGGGAAAGGUGAAAAGCACCCCGGGAGGGGAGUGAAAUAGAACCUGAAACCGUGUGCCUACAACAAGUUCGAGCCCGUUAAUGGGUGAGAGCGUGCCUUUUGUAGAAUGAACCGGCGAGUUACGAUAUGAUGCGAGGUUAAGUUGAAGAAACGGAGCCGUAGGGAAACCGAGUCUUAAUAGGGCGCAUUAGUAUCAUGUCGUAGACCCGAAACCAUGUGACCUACCCAUGAGCAGGUUGAAGGUGAGGUAAAACUCACUGGAGGACCGAACCAGGGCACGUUGAAAAGUGCUUGGAUGACUUGUGGGUAGCGGAGAAAUUCCAAACGAACUUGGAGAUAGCUGGUUCUCUCCGAAAUAGCUUUAGGGCUAGCGUCGAUGUUAAGUCUCUUGGAGGUAGAGCACUGUUUGGGUGAGGGGUCCAUCCCGGAUUACCAAUCUCAGAUAAACUCCGAAUGCCAAUGAGAUAUAAUCGGCAGUCAGACUGCGAGUGCUAAGAUCCGUAGUCGAAAGGGAAACAGCCCAGACCACCAGCUAAGGUCCCAAAAUAUAUGUUAAGUGGAAAAGGAUGUGGGGUUGCACAGACAACUAGGAUGUUAGCUUAGAAGCAGCUAUUCAUUCAAAGAGUGCGUAAUAGCUCACUAGUCGAGUGACCCUGCGCCGAAAAUGUACCGGGGCUAAAACAUAUUACCGAAGCUGUGGAUACCUUUAUAGGUAUGGUAGGAGAGCGUUCUAUGUGCGAAGAAGGUGUACCGUGAGGAGUGCUGGAGCGCAUAGAAGUGAGAAUGCCGGUAUGAGUAGCGAAAGACAGGUGAGAAUCCUGUCCACCGUAAGACUAAGGUUUCCAGGGGAAGGCUCGUCCGCCCUGGGUUAGUCGGGACCUAAGGAGAGACCGAAAGGUGUAUCCGAUGGACAACAGGUUGAUAUUCCUGUACUAGAGUAUAUAGUGAUGGAGGGACGCAGUAGGCUAACUAAACCAGACGAUUGGAAGUGUCUGGCCAAGCAGUGAGGUGUGAUAUGAGUCAAAUGCUUAUAUCUUUAACAUUGAGCUGUGAUGGGGAGCGAAGUUUAGUAGCGAAGUUAGUGAUGUCACACUGCCGAGAAAAGCUUCUAGCGUUAAUUAUACUCUACCCGUACCGCAAACCGACACAGGUAGUCGAGGCGAGUAGCCUCAGGUGAGCGAGAGAACUCUCGUUAAGGAACUCGGCAAAAUGGCCCCGUAACUUCGGGAGAAGGGGCGCUGACUGAUGGUCAGCCGCAGUGAAUAGGCCCAAGCAACUGUUUAUCAAAAACACAGCUCUCUGCUAAAUCGUAAGAUGAUGUAUAGGGGGUGACGCCUGCCCGGUGCUGGAAGGUUAAGAGGAGUGCUUAGCGUAAGCGAAGGCAUGAAUUGAAGCCCCAGUAAACGGCGGCCGUAACUAUAACGGUCCUAAGGUAGCGAAAUUCCUUGUCGGGUAAGUUCCGACCCGCACGAAAGGCGUAAUGAUUUGGGCACUGUCUCAACGAGAGACUCGGUGAAAUUUUAGUACCUGUGAAGAUGCAGGUUACCCGCGACAGGACGGAAAGACCCCAUGGAGCUUUACUGCAGUUUGAUAUUGAGUAUCUGUACCACAUGUACAGGAUAGGUAGGAGCCUAUGACCUCGGGACGCCAGUUUCGAGUGAGGCGUUGUUGGGAUACUACCCUUGUGUUAUGGCUACUCUAACCCAGAUAGGUUAUCCCUAUCGGAGACAGUGUCUGACGGGCAGUUUGACUGGGGCGGUCGCCUCCUAAAAGGUAACGGAGGCGCCCAAAGGUUCCCUCAGAAUGGUUGGAAAUCAUUCGCAGAGUGUAAAGGUAUAAGGGAGCUUGACUGCGAGAGCUACAACUCGAGCAGGGACGAAAGUCGGGCUUAGUGAUCCGGUGGUUCCGUAUGGAAGGGCCAUCGCUCAACGGAUAAAAGCUACCCUGGGGAUAACAGGCUUAUCUCCCCCAAGAGUUCACAUCGACGGGGAGGUUUGGCACCUCGAUGUCGGCUCGUCGCAUCCUGGGGCUGUAGUCGGUCCCAAGGGUUGGGCUGUUCGCCCAUUAAAGCGGCACGCGAGCUGGGUUCAGAACGUCGUGAGACAGUUCGGUCCCUAUCCGUCGCGGGCGUAGGAAAUUUGAGAGGAUCUGCUCCUAGUACGAGAGGACCAGAGUGGACUUACCGCUGGUGUACCAGUUGUUCUGCCAAGAGCAUCGCUGGGUAGCUAUGUAGGGAAGGGAUAAACGCUGAAAGCAUCUAAGUGUGAAGCCCACCUCAAGAUGAGAUUUCCCAUGAUUUU
rnacentral:rRNA from 1 species